UAAAAUUCUUGCUUCAUUUUGCCAAGCAAAAUAGAGUAUUCACAAAAUGAAGAUGAAAAAGAUAGAAUAGAAUGUUGCCAGCCGGCCCAAUCCAAACAAAAUGCAAGUCCAGUUGUGGUGGCAGAGUCAUACCUCUUCUUCACUGCCCCUAUCUUCAAUUUUGUACCGUGAGGAAGCCAUUGCAGCUGGUGCUACGUGGCACAUCCACAACAACAAUGCAUUAUCCGCCGCCGCCCUCAGCCUCAGGUUUAGCCGAAACCCUAACCUAACCUCUCGAAGAUUUCGUCUCGUUACUUUCACGUCAAACGCUACCUUUGACGAUGGCGACACUCGGAAUGAUAAUGUCAAUGAUACGGGAGACCGAGGCGACGACGAUGACGAUGAUGAUGACGGCGUUGAGAUUGAGAUUGAAAUAAUUGGGAAACGUCGUCGGCGAAUUCGAUCCAAGAUAGCCGUGAACGCCAGCUUGCAGAACGUGUGGGAAGUCCUCACUGAUUAUGAAAGGUUAGCUGAUUUCAUCCCCGGUCUUGCCGUCAGCCAGUUGCUUCAGAAGGAGCCUAAUUUCGCCCGGCUUCUUCAGAUUGGGGAACAAGACUUAGCAUUUGGGCUCAAAUUUAAUGCUAAAGGUAUCGUUGAUUGUUAUGAGAAAGAUCUUGAAGAUCUCCCCAUUGGUCAGAGGCGUGAUAUUGAGUUUAAGAUGGUGGAAGGUGACUUCAAACUUUUUGAAGGGAAAUGGUCUAUCGAACAGAUGGUGGAUUCUUCCUUCCCUUUUUCUAUUCCUUCCUCUGCCAUUCAGUUGUUAUUAGGAACUCAGUGGAAAACGUACAAUGUGAGGUUAUAAAAAUUGAAACAACCGAAGAUACCAUCUUUUCUUUUUCGCGAAUGUCUUGAGUGCAACCCAGGUAGUGUUAAAGAGCAUGAUUCUUCUGCGGGCCAACCAUUUCAUACAACUCUCUUCUACAUUGUUGAUGUUGAACCUAAGCUUUGGUUGCCUGUGCGGGUUAUUGAAGGCAGACUCUGUAAGGAGAUAAAAACCAACCUGCGGUCUGUUAGGGAAGAAGCACAAAAAGUAUAUCUUACUUCAUUAUCAUCUUAUUAACUGUCAACUAAUUACUACCAUUUAUUGCUGAAGCAAUGUAUAUAUUACCUCUACAUAAUACAAUUUUUACCAAAUCAACAUCUGUUUUGGUGCACUUAUUUUGAUGAUGUGGAUUAA